rnacentral:misc_RNA from 1 species
CAGAUUGAAGAGCCAAGAGAACUAGUGAUGGAUCUCAGCAAUGGCAGAUCAUUAAGAUCCCUGGUUUGGGUGUCAAGCCUAUCAACGUAAAGGACAACAUCUGGAGGACAAUUCUUCAUGAACUUCUUUAUGGAAGUCAAUAUUUUGCGGUUUAACCCUUGUUCUGAACCAGAAGACUUGAGACCUGGGCUAUCAAUUACCCUAAUCUUAACUCCACCUACCACACCAGUUAUUUCUCUAACAGAAUUAGUUGCAGGUUC